rnacentral:lncRNA from 1 species
AUGGCCAUGUCUUUGGCAAGCGCUCGGGGAGCCAAGUGGCUGCUCCAGGCUCUGUGUCCGUGUCCCCUGGGGAUCACACAGGGACGUGGGGUCUCACCCCCGGUGCUGCCUGCCUCCUCCUGCAGCUUCACUCUGUUUUCUCUCCCCUCCCAGGGUCCAGCAGGAGUCCGCGGUGCACCAGGGACCAGAGGGAUGAAGGGCCGCAGGGGUGCCAGAGGCCCUGAUGGACCAGUAGGCGAGCCGGGGUCACGAGGUGCCAAGGUGAGUGCCAGCUUGGCUGAGAUUGCUCUUAGCAGCGUUAUGAAACACCACGGACAGACCAAGGUCCCAUCCUCCUCCAGAAACUGGGGCCGUCCAAUGGCUCCACGAGAACCAGCCAGCAGGAAUGAGUCCUCCACGCAGCCAGAGCAAAAUCUUCCUCCAAAGCAGCAUUUGCUCAAAAGGAUGUAGGUCAUGCAGCCCGUUGCCCAAAUUCCCCACAGGUUGUGGUGUUCCUCAGGGCAGGAUGCUGGGCACCUGGCCUUUCAAAAGCUGCAGGGAAUUGGUGUGGGUAUCUGAUGCAGAAAAACACAAGAGCAGGUGGGGUGAGGCAAAGAGCUUCACCAAUACAGCGUGUGUUGUCUUUUUGCCUUGCAGGGCCGUCCGGGGGAGCCAGGCAAGCUGGGGCCAGAAGGGCUGCAGGUACGUCCCCUGAGGGACCCAGUGCCUGCCAGCUCCGGCAAGGUGCAAACCCCCUGGGGGUGCCCACGGUGCCCAGAGACCUGCAGCUUCUGGCCAAAGCACUGCAGGUGUCCGAGCACAUUUCCAGCUGCUAAUGGCUGUAACCGUGUGUUCACAGGGGAAGAUGGGCGAGACUGGGGAGACAGGAUCACGUGGCUUCCCAGUAAGUACCUAUCACUGGUGCUUUCUUUUAUAAACUCCUUUUCACUCAAGUUCUUAUAUUUUGAUUCCUGAUCCAGGAGGAAGAACUUGGAGUGUCUCACACUUACAGGGCCACCUUUCCACUCUUUUUACUGUAGUAUCUCAAAAGAUGCAUGUCACUUCUAUGAAGCAUGAAGGAUUGCCAUGGGGUUGGAGCUAACCUUGGUGUCAUUUAUUUUUCUAGGGUAUCCAAGGGCCUUCAGGACCUCCAGGAGCAAAAGGGGCACCAGGCGACCCGGCAAGUGUCUCACCAUUCUCUCUCCACCUGUCUCUCCAUGCACAUACACUCUUCAUUUCUUUCUCUGUCUGUUUUUCCCUACUACUAAUUCCCAUCUCCAUCCUGGCCAGUUCCAGUGUGGUCAGAGAUGUGAAAGACGUGACUUGAGUUCUAGGAGGCCUGAGGAAAGUUAAGGUCAGACCCCUAGAAAGGAAAAGGGGACUGUGGAUCAACCAGGGACAGUGUGGGAUACAGCCUGGGCUGGAUUUUGGAGGGGAAGGGAGGAAAGAAAUGCAAGGUUGGGUCUGGACGGGGUCAGAUGUAAUGAGAAGAGUUGGGCUGGGCUGAGGUGGGAACAGGAGGGAGUCUGACGGUGUCAAAACUGAGCCUGCAGCUUUGAGGGAGGCACUGGGAGAUGAAAUGUGCAGGCAGACCUGCAGGAGAGCCAGCAGGACCACUGAAACAAGGUGAGGGGCCUUCUGCUGUCUGUGUCUGCAGGACUUUCCUAGACUGAAGGGAGAGGAUUAAGCAGAUACUUCCAGGUUACCAUCAGCGGUUGUUCUAGGUUGGAGCCAGAAAGGCGAAGGGCCUUCUGAGCUGUUGUUUGCCUGUUUUGAUGCCUCAGAGCACCCAUUACCGGUCCCUCCGUCUUGCUGGCCAUCUCUGGCACACUGCAUAGCUCUGCUGCGAGGUGGGAGGGAACCAGUGUUUUAUCUUACAGGCUGCAGAAAUGAUGGCCCUUCAGAAGGGAAAACAGUUGCAUGAAAAGAGCCUUGUGUCUCUGUUUUCCAGGGUCCACAAGGACCACAGGGGCCGCCUGGGCCUUUGGGAGAAAUCGGGCAUAAGGUACGUCUGGUCUUUGCUCCUAUUUAUUUUCCCUUUACAUCGAGAGUGGCAGGACUGAGGGAGAAUCAAGGGUGCCGAGGUGAAACCUUUCACACCCAGGGACAUGAGCAGGAAGGAUUUCCCUCAAGUCUGAAUACCGACUUCCAAAGAAAACAGUGAGAGACAGAAAUCCGAGCAUCAUCUUCAUCUCAGGGCAUGGGCACCCCGCUGGUGGGUGGGCAGCCCCAUCUCCACAACAAGAGAAACAUUGCAAAGCUGGCCACCCCCCAGCACGCACACCUCAGGCGUGGCUCCACCACCACUCCAGGGACCACCUCUGUACCAGGGAGCAGAGUCAGAAACAAAAUAGAGCCUUCAAAAUAAAAACUGGUCUUUUCUGCCUCCCUCACUAGUCCCGUUUCUGACCAGACACAGUUUUGUCAGCCAGCCUGGAUUGCUGCAGCACUCCCAUCAGAGGUCUGCAGCCAGUGGAGGGAGCUCAGAGAAACGCCUGCGCUGCUGACGGUGCUUUUUGGGUUGCUGUUGCCACGAAGCAGUGGCACAAACACACCAUAACCAAGGCAGCAGCAGCUGCCAAACAGUGCCCUGAUGCAGGAGAUGCCUCCAUGACUUGCCCCUAAUUCAUUCACAGUCUUGGCCUUAUUUGAUUCUCGUUGAAAUAUUAGAGUUUUGGCUGAUUAUACCAGGGUACCAGUCCCCUUGGGUAGCUCCUUCCACAGGUCCUGAGCUGUGAAGCAGCCAUGUGAUGUUUCGCUUGGUUGUGGAAACAGCAGCAAAGGUGCCUUUUAAUACAGUCUACUGCAAAGUGUAUGAGUCAGGAAAGUUUCCAUUCUCAUGGCUGCUAGACUGGAUGGAGCGAGCUCUCAGCGUGGUAAACCACACUGGGGAGCUGGAAAGCUGCUACCAAGCCUCUCUGGAUGCUGCCAACCAAGAAAGUACAGAGGUUUAUUCAAAUCUGUGUCUCUUCCAGGAGCCUUUCCCUGCACUGGCACUGCUGGGGAAACCAAAGCAGGAUUUUUGCUUUCAUUGGAGCUUGAGUUUUCUCUUUGCGUGACUUGACCAUUUGUUAAUAAACCCAGCACUCACCCUGCUCCCUCCUCUGCCCAAAUCCAUUUCAGCAAGCCAGGAACUGGCUUUAUUCCCUGUGCAGCCGAGUGCUCCCUUUGACUAUAUGCUCUUUUUUCCUUUAUUCCUAGCUGCAAAGAGAAGGGGGAUUGUUGUCCAGAAAGCAAGUAUUAUAAGAAAAUAAAGCCCUCAAAUCCCUUAAAGACAAGCUUUGCUGUCACAUCUUGGGGCUUGCUAUCCAGACUGUCAUUCCCCAUUCUUACCAGGAGUAGCAGAAAAUGUACAAAAAUUAAAGCUCCCAAUAGAUCUCGGCACCAAAGGUGUUUAAGGAAUUGUGGCCCCACGACUGCAAAGCUGCAAGUGGCAGCUGCACACCUAGUAUGAACGAUUUGCAAGAUCAUUCUCUCUUCUACCUUUUUAUACCUUAAUUUUCCAUACUUUGCAGCUCAGGCACUCAUUUUUGGCUGUCAGAGGGAUCCUGAGCCCCUCUGCCAGGGUUACCAGCAGAGGGUUGGAAGGAGUUACAGAGGAGCCUGGCAGAGGAGGCUGGGGGCGUGAGAGAAGAGCAGAGCCCCCGCAGGGACCAGGCACAAGGGGAUGCUGGCUUCUUUGAUGCUGCAUACCCUGAGCCAGCUCCGGGGAAGUAAUUACACUGCAACCAGGGCUGUGCUAUCCCAGGAGGGCUCUGCUAAAGGAAUUAUGCCUUUGAUCUUGCUUUCUACUUGGUUACAAUGGGUUUUUUCAUAUUUUUUUCCAGGGACCGCCUGGUUCAAUGGGACAACCUGGCCUUGCAGGUGAACCUGGCAUGAAGGUAAGAAAAAGCCCUCAGUGCGAUUUCUCUGUCAGAGCAGGGAGGUAAUAGGCACUUUGGUUCCUACAGGGAUGGGUAGCAUUGCAGGCUCACCCUCCAGCAGCCAAUGUAGACAGCACAAUCAAUAAAGAUAAGGUUAAAAGGAAAAAAAAAAAAAAAAAAAAA